GUCCUGGCCUUAAACGAUGGAUGCUUGGUGUCUGGAGUUUUAUAGUCUCCGGGUGCCGUAGCUAACGCGUUAAGCAUCCCGCCUGGGGAGUACGGUCGCAAGACUGAAACUCAAAGGAAUUGACGGGGACCCGCACAAGCGGUGGAGCAUGUGGUUCAAUUCGACGCAACGCGAAGAACCUUACCUGGGCUAGAAUGCCUCUGACAACUCCAGAGAUGGAGCUUCUUAGGGAAACCUAGGCGGAGUGCAAGGUGCUGCAUGGCUGUCGU
rnacentral:rRNA from 1 species